ACUAUUAAAAUCAUAUCAGCCCACCCAGCCCAUUUAGACAAACCUGUUCUUCAUCUGCAUGCUUGGCGACUCUCUCCACACUCUUCCACUUCAUCUUCUCCAAUUUCUGUUUUUUUUUUCCGUUACCUUCUCAAUCAAUGACUAUGUUAAAGAAAUAAUUAAAGUUUUCCUCCACCUCCCUUUGAUACUACUCCUAUAUAAAGCUCUUGGGUAAUCCAUUGUUAAACUGUAGCUUGAUUGAUCAUGAUAAACUAUUGUUUCGUUAAAUUAUUUUUACAUUGUAUCUGAGGGGCAGAGAGUAUGUGAGAGCAAUAGAUAGUGAGAGAGGAGAGAAUGAAUGGUGGUGAUGAGAUCAGAGCUUCGUCGUUUUAGAUCAGAGAUUCUCUCAGGUUUGAAGGCAGUUCAGGCGAAGAAGUUCAAGAAGGCUGUGUACUGCUUACAAUCAAGGGACUGGACGAGGAACGUCUGUGUUAGAAUUGAUUGCUGCUUUUAAAAAAAGCUUCUGGCAAGAAAAUACCUAUCAAGCUUUGUAUGAGAAGGCCAGGAGAUGCAACUGCAGUUUAUGCUUCAACAGAGAGAACUGAGAAAGAACUUGGCUGGAAGUAGAUUGUCUUUUAUUCAACUGAGACAUGUGUUUCACGAAAAUCAAAGGUGGCUUGGGGUACUUCAGCUUUUGUUUGCAGUUCUUUCAGUGAGUGUCAACCUCCACAUGAGAAACAUAGGAUGCAACUUAAUAGAGAACUGGGUUAAAGGUAAGACGGAUCAAGUUUUGGUUUCAGAACUGAAGAAUACAGAAUAAGGCACAAUAAGAAAGAGUUGAUAGUUGUGCACUCAAGGAAGAGAAUAUUUGGAUUCAUUGCGAAAACAUUGCCAUUCGAGAAGCUCACAAACACACCAUUUGCCACAACUGUGGUGAUGCUCCUGUUCAUGACGACUCUUUGAUGAACAGAAGCUUUGAAUCUAAAAUGUUUAGAGAAGAGGUUCUAGCUUUUUUUUUACCAUCUCAUGAUCAAAACAAGGAUACUUUGUUCAUUGAGAAGCUCCUCUCAAGCUGUCCUGUUCUUGAAGAUUUCACCGUGUAUAGGGUUUUUGAUGACAAUAUACCUGUUCUGCGUAUGAGAUCUCAGUGUCUUAAGAGGUUUUGUGUAAAGUUUGGCCGCCAGAGAAGAAUUUUUGGUAGAGAGUAUGCGGUUUGGUGUCAGUCUAAUGAGAACUGUUGGUAUCAAAUCUUUUUUACUAUUUUUUA